rnacentral:rRNA from 1 species
AAGCGGUGGAGCAUGUGGUUUAAUCGAAGCAACGCGUAAGAACCUUACCAGGUCUUGACAUCCCGAUGCUAUUCUAGAGAUAGAAAGUUACUUCGGUACAUCGGUGACAGGUGGUGCAUGGUUGUCGUCAGCUCGUGUCGUGAGAUGUUGGGUUAAGUCCCGCAACGAGCGCAACCCCUAUUGUUAGUUGCCAUCAUUCAGUUGGGCACUCUAGCGAGACUGCCGGUAAUAAACCGGAGGAAGUGGGAUGACGUCAAAUCAUCAUGCCCCUUAUGACCUGGGCUACACACGUGCCACAAUGGUUGGUACAACGAGUUGCGAGUCGGUGACGGCGAGCUAAUCUCUUAAAAGCCAAUCUCAGUUCGGAUUGUAGGCUGCAACUCGCCUACAUGAAGUCGGAAUCGCUAGUAAUCGCGGAUCAGCACGCCGCGGUGAAUACGUUCCCGGGCCUU